CACGGAAUUAGCCGGUCCUUAUUCAUAGGGUACAUGCAAUAAACUACACGUAGCUCACUUUAUUCCCCUAUAAAAGCAGUUUACAACCCAUAGGGCCGUCAUCCUGCACGCUACUUGGCUGGUUCAGGCUCUCGCCCAUUGACCAAUAUUCCUCACUGCUGCCUCCCGUAGGAGUUUGGACCGUGUCUCAGUUCCAAUGUGGGGGACCUUCCUCUCAGAACCCCUACUGAUCGUUGCCUUGGUGGGCCGUUACCCGCCAACAAGCUAAUCAGACGCAUCCCAUCCAUUACCAAUAAAUCUUUAAUCCUAUAAUGAUGCCAUCAUAAAUACCAUGGGUAUUAGUCUUAACUUUCGCAAGGUUAUCCCCCUGUAACUGGGUAAGUUGGAUACGCGUUACUCACCCGUGCGCCGGUCGACGCCUAAGAGAGCAAGCUCUCUCAUCGUUCCCCUCGACUUGCAUGUGUUAAGCCUGUAGCUAGCGUUCAUCCGUGACGCCAGGAUACGAAACUCUACG
rnacentral:rRNA from 1 species